rfam:Pteropus alecto contig40387, whole genome shotgun sequence.
GUCUACACCAUGCUACCCUGAACAAGCCCAGUACCGUCUGAUCUCGGAAGCUAAGCAGGGUCAGGCCUGGUUAGUACUUGGAUGGGAGACCACCUAGGAAGACCAGGUGUUGUAGGUG